CGGUUCUUCUCAGAUCUCAACCCUGCUGCGUUUCCGACCGGAAGUUAGACCAUCCGCUCCACGGUUCUCCAGGUUGCUGACCGCAAAUCUCUGAAUUGGCUCACAGGAGUAUGGAGACCGAGAAGUCCCAAAAUCUGUGUCCGCGUUAAACUGGACAACGCGAGAGCAGAUGGCGUGACUUCCGGUCGGGAACCCAGCGGCUUGAGAUCCGAGAAGAGCCGCGUUUCAGUUACACUCUGAAGGCAGGAAACAACCUUUUGGAAUGAGGUGUGCAACAUAAGCUUUAUGAAGAAAAUUUUUCCAGCUUUGUUGAGCACAGAUUGUCAGCCUAUUCCCCUGGACCAAUCAAUCUUGAAUGGAGAUAAGAAAUCUGUAUUAAAUCCUCAGGUCAAGUUGGAGCCAUUUAUGAUUCAUUUUUAUAUAGGCUCAGUUCGACAAACCAAAUACACUCUUCAGAGGUUCAAACAAUUUACUAUUCAACAAUGCGAAGAUAGGUUAAAAUGCAUAUAAAUGAAGGACAGGAUCACUUUUAAAACUAAAACUUGAAAAUUUUGAAAUGAGAAUAUCACCAUCAGUAUAAUAUCAAUAAAAUCUUUCACUCACU
rnacentral:lncRNA from 1 species